AUCAGAAAAAGGAAGAAUUUGGAAGAUAAAAUACGAAUUUGAAUUAAGAAAAAUUAUGAAACUUUUUUGGAUUGAGCUUUGCGGGGAAAGCGUCGAGCGCUCGCACGUCCGUCACGUUCUUUAGUCGCGUCGCAACUGCUUUGGUCGAGUGCUCGCGGACGAACCGAGUAGCUAGCGCUGAAUUCACCACAGUUUCGGUUGGCCGUGGUGAAUAAGUGGGCAUAGUGAAGGCAGCCACAGUGGCCAGGCAUCAUACUGCGCCUAACAGUUUCGAUUAUAGUUAUAAUUAGGCGACAACAAAAGGCGAAGGAAGGCAUUGGCUAUGUGAUCAACGAAGCUCCUGCGGGCCGCAUUCCACCAGGUGGAGUAGCUACAACACACGGACAGGCCGUUGUGGCACCCGUUUACUACGCACCUCCUAGCUACCAAUCUCAUGGUUAUCCAACUACAUAUGUAUAUCCAACACAUGCUGUUAGCCAAAUACAAGUGCAAGUUCAGGGCAUGCCCGCUCCCCUCAAUGGAAUGCCACCAAACUACCCUCCCAUGCAGCAGCGAGCUGCAAAUGAGGCAAAUAUGGCAAAUGCAGAGCUAAAUAUUUUGCCCGCCAGCUUGGAAAAAUCGUCACCACAUCAGACACACCAAGGCGCGGUUGAAACAGUUAGCCAAAUUUAAAUAAACGAAUUUUUGUGGCAUAAAGUAUCGAAAAAUCUGUAAC